GGAUGGGUAGUGAAGUGGCUAAACACGGGUGGCUGUAACCCAUCUCCUAACGGUUCGGGGGUUCGAAUCCCUCUCCAUCCACCA
rnacentral:tRNA from 1 species